rnacentral:rRNA from 1 species
UACAGAGGUCUCAAGCGUUGUUCGGAUUCAUUGGGCGUAAAGGGUGUGUAGGUGGCGCCGUAAGUCGGGUGUGAAAUUUCGGAGCUUAACUCCGAAACUGCAUUCGAUACUGCGGUGCUUGAGGACUGGAGAGGAGACUGGAAUUCCUGGUGUAGCGGUGGAAUGCGCAGAUAUCAGGAGGAACACCGGUGGCGAAGGCGGGUCUCUGGGCAGUAACUGACGCUGAGGAGUGAAAGCGUGGGGAGCGAACAGG